CCCGGGGAGGAGGAAGGCGUGCGGAAGCAGCCCAGACCGGCGGAGGCGGAGGGAACGAUUGCUUGGAAGGCAAGGACCGAUUCCUGCCAUGGCGACUCAGCCCAUCCCAGUCUCAAAGCAGACCAGAGAAGCCGUGUGUGGCAUCCCAACGGAGGUGGUGUGCACCUCCUUUGGAGCCACGAUCCUGGUGGUGGUGACCCAGUAUGGAAAGAUGGGGACUCUGGUCUCAGUGGAGCCUGACGCAGUACCUGAUGGGAUCAACAGAACUUCGUGGACCACGAAAGUUCUCCUGGGCAAGGAUGAGCCUCUUGUCCACAUCUCCGCCAAGCACCUGGUGACCUCGGUGUCUCAAGAAGCUGGCAACAAGGCCGUUCUGCUGGCAAUGGCUCUCAAGGACAAAAGCAUCGAAGGCAUCCGGAGGUUGAAGGAACUCAUCCAUCAAUGCCGAGUGUGGUGAUGGUGGACCCAAAAGAAUUCUUUGGAGGCCAGAGGCCGUCUGCCUGAGGUUAAUGUUGGUUUGGAUGCAAACUUGAUUGUGUACAUUGAGGUCUCCAAACUCGGCAACUUUAAGACUUGUGGACUUCAACUCCCAGAAUUCUCCAGCCAGCAUAGCUGGGAAUUCUGGGAGUUGAAGUCCAUGGGUCUUAAAAUCAGGUCUUAAAGUUGCCAAGUUUGGGGACUCCUGGGGUACACGCUAAUUUUUUUUUCCUGUUCAUAACUCUUAUUUUGAACUUUGACAAUGAACAUUUGUGGGUAAGCUGACACAAUGGGUGUCAAUUCAUGUUACAUAAACAUUCACAAGUACCUGUUCAGAAACCUGCUGUAACCAUUAAAAAGUUUGAUGUUGUACCUGCCUAGGAAUUAGCCCCAGCAAAUUUUAUAGCAAGUUUUCCUAGUUAAUUGGGUUUUUUUCUGAGGAAACCCAAGGAAGUUUCAAACGUUGAACAGGUUUUUCCCAGUUGCAAUGUUUAAAUUUCUCCCCCCACCCCUUCAUUUUUUCCCCUUACAUUUCAGUUUUAUAGCACAUCGGAAGUAGUUCAGGUUACAAAUAGUAUUCAACGAUCUUCCUAUUAAGGGUUUCUUCUCUAUGUUUUCUCAUUCCGAAAGCAACCCGAAUAAAUUCAGAAUAGCUUUACUGCCAUCUUCUGAAAGGACAGUCUUCGUUUGACUAAAACAAUAAAGGAAUUGCAAUAUG